ACGGAAGGCAGCAGUGGGGAAUAUUGCACAAUGGGGGAAACCCUGAUGCAGCGAUGCCGCGUGGAGGAAGAAGGUUUUCGGAUUGUAAACUCCUGUCUUAAAGGACGAUAAUGACGGUACUUUAGGAGGAAGCUCCGGCUAACUACGUGCCAGCAGCCGCGGUAAUACGUAGGGAGCGAGCGUUGUCCGGAAUUACUGGGUGUAAAGGGAGCGUAGGCGGGACUGCAAGUCAGAUGUGAAAUGCCGAGGCUUAACCCCGGAGCUGCAUUUGAAACUGUGGUUCUUGAGUGAAGUAGAGGCAAGCGGAAUUCCUGGUGUAGCGGUGAAAUGCGUAGAUAUCAGGAGGAACACCGGUGGCGAAGGCGGCUUGCUGGGCUUUUACUGACGCUGAGGCUCGAAAGCGUGGGUAGCAAACAGGAUUAGAUACCCUGGUA
rnacentral:rRNA from 1 species